GUUUUGUUGGGGUUGAGUUCCAUGAAGAAGAAGCUCACUGAGUGUGAUGCCUUAACAAAAGCAGCACACGUCCUACAAAGAAGUAAGGGCACAUGGACAUCCAGCCAUCUUGAAACCUGCUCUGCAAGGCAUUCAUACCCACAAGGAAAGAUGAAGGUGAAGAGCUGUGUCCUGGUGGCUAUUGCUUCUGUAACAACCGCUCAGAUGAGGACUUCCCAUGAUUUCCUCAGUGCCCUCAUGCUGCAGCUCUUCUCCAGGCUGGGAUGGUCGGGGUUUCCUCUGCAUCCAUCUGACGUAGUGGCAUCUCAAAGGCUGUGGGCAGACCUCCUACAGUGGCAGAGAAGUCAGAGCCAGGAGUGUGGCCGUGGUCCCAUCUGUCUUUAGGAGUGCAGAAGUUUGCAUUUAAGGCAGCUGGUAAUUUAGGAAAGAAGAUACAAAUUCUCCCGGAACACGGAGACAAAAAAUUCCCCCCCGUAGGUGACCGAUUACUGUGGUUUUCUCCAAGUUAAAAGAAGGUUUAAAUAUUGACUGUAGUGAAUUUAUGGACCUUUGUAUGGAAAAAAAAACUAUGCUUCUAUAAUCUUUAGACAGC
rnacentral:lncRNA from 1 species